AGCCUAUUGGCUACUGUCUAAAACUGUAAGGGUACAGCCUAUUGGCUACUGUCUAAAACUGUAAGGGUUCAGCCUAUUGGCUACUGUCUAAAACGGUAAGGGUUCAGCCUAUUGGCUACUGUCUAAAACUGUAAGGGUACAGCCUAUUGGCUACUGUCUAAAACUGUAAGGGUUCAGCCUAUUGGCUACUGUCUAAAACUGUAAGGGUACAGCCUAUUGGCUACUGUCUAAAACUGUAAGGGUACAGCCUAUUGGCUACUGUCUAAAACUGUAAGGGUUCAGCCUAUUGGCUACUGUCUAAAACUGUAAGGGUACAGCCUAUUGGCUACUGUCUAAAACUGUAAGGGUACAGCCUAUUGGCUACUGUCUAAAACUGUAAGGGUUCAGCCUAUUGGCUACUGUCUAAAACUGUAAGGGUUCAGCCUAUUGGCUACUGUCUAAAACUGUAAGGGUUCAGCCUAUUGGCUACUGUCUAAAACUGUAAGGGUUCAGCCUAUUGGCUACUGUCUAAAACUGUAAGGGUUCAGCAUUGGCUACUGUCUAAAACUGUAAGGGUUCAGCCUAU